rnacentral:tRNA from 1 species
GCGGUGAUUUAAUUGUCCGCCCAGAAGCUGUUUACGGCUAGAAAUUCACUGAAAGCACGUAUUAGGCAGCGCACCCCAACUAAAGAAGCUUACAAACUGGAAACGUUCGACUUAAAAUCGAAUUGUAGGUUCAAUUCCUACUUGCCGCG